CCCUUAGAUGUUCUGGGCCCCACGCGCGCUACACUGAUGCAUUCAACGAGUGUACCUUGGCCGAGAGGCCUGGGCAAUCUUUUGAACGUGCAUCGUGAUAGGGAUAGAUUAUUGCAAUUAUUAAUCUUGAACGAGGAAUUCCUAGUAAACGCAGUUCAUCAAACUGCAUUGAUUACGUCCCUGCCCUUUGUACACACCGCCCGUCGCACCUACCGAUUGGAUGGUCCGGUGAAGCCUCGGGAUUGUGGCGGUUGCCUUUAUUGGUGGCCGCCGCGAGAACUUGUCUAAACCUUAUCAUCUAGAGGAAGGUGAAGUCGUAACA
rnacentral:rRNA from 1 species